GUACAGUUUUCCAGGGUUUUCAGGCAACUCAAAGAAUAUAUGUAACCUCUACUCACCAAAUGGCCACUUGGCUCUAUUUUAAAUUUAAGCACAGUUAGCUACUUGGGAUCCAUCAUGACGGACUGGCUCUUUCAGGUUCACAUUUGUUCACCAAGUGAUGAACCUCAUUUUAGAGUGUGGAGACUGGAAUUUGGGAAGUGAUUUGUAACUUUGCUCCAGCUUGAGACUUGGCUUGGAAAUAACCCUGAGCCUCCUAAGGCUUAGAAUACCAGCAUUGACAGCAGUACCUGGGUGCACCUCAGGAGUCUGCUCAAAGAGUGAGAAAGGAGUUUGGAGACAGAAAGACAGAAGAAUUGAUAUUCCACUCAGAGAUGUCAAUUUUCAAAGAAAUUUCUGCCCAUUACGGAUGCACCACAAAUACUAAAGUCUAUGCAAUAUAUAUUUUGGAAAGAAUGUUUUUUCAUGAAACUAUAAUUUUCAUUCAUAAGAAUAUAUUUCCUGACUUAACAUUUUAUAGACUAGAUUAAAAUUUUGUUCCCCAA